rnacentral:rRNA from 1 species
GAUGAACGCUAGCGGGAGGCUUAACACAUGCAAGUCGAGGGGUAUUGUAGCAAUACAUUAGACCGGCGCACGGGUGAGUAACGCGUAUGCAACCUGCCGUUAACCGGGGGAUAGCCCGUCGAAAGGCGGAUUAAUACCCCAUAAUAUUGGGAUUCUGCAUGGGACUUCAAUUAAAGCUGAGGUGGUUAACGAUGGGCAUGCGUGACAUUAGCUAGUUGGUAGGGUAACGGCCAACCAAGGCUAUGAUGUCUAGGGGUUCUGAGAGGAAGGUCCCCCACACUGGUACUGAGACACGGACCAGACUCCUACGGGAGGCAGCAGUGAGGAAUAUUGGUCAAUGGGCGAGAGCCUGAACCAGCCAUCCCGCGUGCAGGAAGACGGCCCUAUGGGUUGUAAACUGCUUUUGCGCAUGAACAAUGUUACCGACGUGUCGGUAAGUGACGGUAAUGCGUGAAUAAGCAUCGGCUAACUCCGUGCCAGCCGCCGCGGUAAAAC